GUGUGUCUUAUCUUGGGGUUGUGCUACUGUUCAAUGAACGCCUAGUGAGAACAGUACUGCUAACACCUACACAAUAACAUUAAUGACUAGGUUGCACAGUGUGGGAAAAAAAAUAUUUUACUUU